GACCUUGACAGUGAAAGAUGUGUCGUGUUCGGCCAGCCAAGAGAUAUCUGAAACGUCUGCAAGGGAAAGAAAGGAAGGCAAAGCAGGUGCACUUUUUGGCAGUGGAUGGGACUGGAAGGCCCGUGUUGUUAAGUACAUACAGCCUGAAGAACAGCACUGACCUCUACUGGCUCAAUGUGGAUCUGUACAUUAUGCAAACUAAUGUGCGAUUCAAGGGGCUACCCACUCAAAUCAUUAUGUAUCUUUGUCUGAAAAGUAUAUAAUCAGCCACUCCUCACAUGGCAUCAUUCCCAACAGGCUGUUACAAUAAAUCUACAAACUACUUAUUAUGAACAAAUGUACAGUGCACUUGAGUGUAGUGCACAUAACUUGUCUAGGAUAGUACUAAUAUUAAGUGCACUUAAGUGUAACUGUGUUAAUGCCAUGGUACUGAUAAAUGUGUCUGAUACAGAACCAAAACUUGGAAGUGAAAGCUAAAAGUGAACUGAAACCAUGUCGUCCACAUCCUUAUAAACUGCUGAAAGUGCAUAUUAUAUAAAAAAACAACUAAAUCCUAUUAUAUCUCUCUAUAUUCUUCAGAUAUUGCACAAUAGCUUUCUGAGUGUCCUUUACCCCAUCUCCUGUUUUUUCUAGUAAACCUUCAAGUUUCCAUUUCCUUCCUGCAUUACCUAUCUUGAUGAUUUAGCCCUAUACUCUCAUUCCCAUAUUUCCUACAAUGUAAUAGUUUCUGUGGAUUUACAUUCCAAAUACUCAUCUGAUUGAUUUUUACCUAAUAAAAACAAUGUUUUAUUUAUCCCUGUAGGAUCAAACUGGAGUCUGGUUAAAAUGCUCUCCUCUCUUCGGUACCUUCUAGUCACACCCUGAGCACUGAUAUGUUUCUGCACACUGUAAUAUUUCCUUCCACUAUUAUCCUUGCCUCACCUGUCCUGCCAUUUCAUCAUCAUUUCUUUUUUGAUUAUCACCUUAGCUUCUCCUUUUCCAAAGGGUAUAUUUAUAACUUUUGUUAGCUAUUUUGUCUGCUCCAUCUUUCCCUUUAAUACAGUACCUACAUGGCAGGUACCCAGCAGAAUGUCACAUCUAUCCGAACCCUCUGUAAUCUAAAUAAAGCUUGAUGGAUUUCUA